AACCCCCAACCCAGCCCCCCAGCCCAGCAACCAAACCCCCCAACCCAGCCCCCCCAGCCCAGCAACCAAACCCCCCAGCCCAGCAACCAAACCCCCCAACCCAGCCCCCCCAGCCCUGCAACCAAAAGCCCCAACCCAGCAACCAACCCCCCAACCCAGCCCCCACAGCCCAGCAACCAACCCAGCCCAGCAACCAAACCCCCAACCCAACCCAGCAACCAAACCCCCCAACCCAGCAACCAAACCCCCCAACCCAACCCAGCCCAGCAACCAAACCUCCCCAACCCAGCCCAGCAACCAAACCGCCCAACCCAACCCUGCAACCAAACCCCCAGCCCAGCCCAGCAACCAACCCCAACCCAACCCAGCCAAGCAACCAACCCCCCCCAACCCAGCAACCAGACUCCCCAACCCAGUCCCCCCACCUGUUUCCAUACCACCUAAUCCCAGUACCCAGCCCCCUCACCUGUUUCCAUACCACCUAACCCCACCCCCCUCACCUGUUUCCAUACCACCUAACCCCAGUACCCAGCCCCCUCACCUGUUUCCAUACCACCUAACCCCAGUACCCAGCCCCCUCACCUGUUUCCAUACCACCUAACCCCAGUACCCAGCCCCCUCACCUGUUUCCAUACCACCUAACCCCAGUACCCAGCCCCUUCACCUGUUUCCAUACCACCUAACCCCAGUACCCAGCCCCCUCACCUGUUUCCAUACCACCUAACCCCAGUACCCAGCCCCCUCACCUGUUUCCAUACCACCUAACCCCAGUACCCAGCCCCCUCACCUGUUUCCAUACCACCUAACCCCAGUACCCAGCCCCUUCACCUGUUUCCAUACCACCUAACCCCAGUACCCAGCCCCCUCACCUGUUUCCAUACCACCUAACCCCAGUACCCAGCCCCUUCACCUGUUUCCAUACCACCUAACCCCAGUACCCAGCCCCCUCACCUGUUUCCAUACCACAUGCAAGUUUUGAAUAAAAAAAUUAUGUAGCGAACAGGUCUUGCCGUGUAUGUAUGUUUUACCAGGACAAGACUUCUUGCCCUUGUAGGGCUAGAAUCACAUGACUUAAACCUGUUGUGGUGCAAAGACGAAGGACAUUUGAAGGUGUUGCAGAGAAAGGUGAACAGGAGAAAAAUGAGGGAGGUCGAGAGGCGAGAGAGGAGAGAGACCUCUUUUUUUGGAUUCUACAGGUGCUGUACAAAAUUAAAUACCACAACCGUGCUUGUUCAAAACACACAAAAAUUAAGUGGUGCUAAAAAAGGUGCUUUUUGAAAAUGAAUAAACUUCAACUAUAGUUUUUUUACAAUACUGUUAUUUCUGAAUCCACUUUCAAAACCUGCGUGUGUAUCAGAAUCGCAUCUGGCUCUUAAUCUUGGUAACAAAAAAAUAUAUAUAUACACAGUACCAGUCAAAAGUUUGGACACACCGACUCAUUCAAGCGUUUUUCUUUAUUUUACUAUUUUCUACAUUGUAGAAUAAUAGUGAAGACAUCAAAACUGUGAAAUAACACAUAUAGAAUCAUGUAGUAACCAAAAAAGUGUUAAACAAAUCAAAAUCUAUUUUAUAUUUGAGAUUCUACAAAGUAGCCACCCUUUGUCUUGAUGGCAGCUUUGCACACUCUUGGCAUUCUCUCAACCAGCUUCACCUGGAAUGUUUUUUCAACAGUCUUGAAGGAGUUCCCACAUAUGCUGAGCACUUGUCGGCUGCUUUUCCUUCACUCUGCUGUCCAACUCAUCCCAUACCAUCUCGAUUGGGUUGAGGUCAUAUGCUUGUGGAAGUCAGGUCAUCUGAUGCAGCACUGCAUCACUCUCCUGGGUCAAAUAGCCAUUACACAGCCUGGAGGUGUGUUUUGGGUCAUUUGUCCUGUUGAAAAUGUAAUCAUAGUCCCACUAAGCGCAAACCAGAUGUGAUGGCGUAUCGCUGCAGAAUGAUGUGGUAGCCAUGCUGGUUAAGUGAGCCUUGAAUUCUAAAUAAAUCACUGACAGUGUCACCAACAAAGCACCCCAACACAUUCACACCUGUGCUUCACAAAGACAUGGUGGUUGUAACCAAAAUGUGCAAAUUUGGACUCAUCAGAUCAAAGGACAGAUUUCCACCUGUCUAAUGCCCAUUACUCGUAUUUCUUGGCUCAAUCAAGUCGCUUCUUAUUAUUGGUGUCCUUAAGUAGUGGUUUCUUUGCAGCAAUUCGGCCUUGAAGGCCUGAAUCACGCAUUCUCAUCUGAACAGUUGAUGUUGAGAUGUGUCUGUUACUUGAACUCUGUGCAGCGUUUAUUUGGGCUGCAAUCUGAGGCGGGUAACUCUAAUGAACUUAUCCUCUGCAGCUGAGAUAACUCUGGGUCUUCCUUUCCUGUGGCGAUCCUCAUGAGAGCCAGUUUCAUCAUAGCGCUUGAUGGUUUUUGCGACUGCCCUUUUCUGGAUUAGCUGACCUUCAUGUCUUAAAGUAAUGAUGGACUGUCAUUUCUCUUUGCUUAUUUGAGCUGUUCUUGCCAUAAUAUGGAUUUGGUCUUUUACCAAAUAGGACUAACAACCCUACCUUGUCACAACACAACUGAUUGGCUCAAACACAUUAAGAAGGAAAGAAAUUCCACAAAUUAACUUUUAACAAGGCACACCUGUUAAUUGAAAUGCAUUCCAGGUGACUACAUCAUGAAGCUGGUUGAGAGAAUGCCAAGAUUGUUCAAAGCUGUCAUCAAGGCAAAGCGUGGCUACUUUGAAGAAUAUAAAAUCUAUUUUGAUUUGUUUAACACUUUUUUUGCUUACUACAUGAUUCCAUAUGUUAUUUCAUCGUUUUUAUAUCUUCACUAUUUUUCUACAAUGUAGAAAAUAGUAAAAUAAAGAAAAACCCUUGAAUGAGUAGCUGUUCUAAAACUUUUGACUGGUAGUGUGUGUGUGUGUGUGUAAAGACAGACUGUCAGAAUUCAAUAAUUAUUAUAUUUUGUCAAUAAAUACAUCCUGUGUUAACUGUUACCUGAUACCAGUUAAGAAGCAAAUAAAAUUAGCAUUCAAACGACUCCCUAUUUCUAGUGUGUGUAUAUAUAUAUAUACCAUCCUAAGAUAUAUGUUAUUGCAGGUUUACCUUUUGAGACCUUAGGUAAAAUGACUAAGACUCACCAGCUCACAUAUAGCAACAUAUUCCACUAAUGUUGUGAUACUGUGCUUGUAUUAAGCAAUCAUGGCAUUCGUUCUACUUUUUAUUUAAGUCUAUUUGUGAUUUUCAUUUUGUUUUCAUUUUUGUCUUUUUCUUAUUUUUUGGGGGGAGGGGGUCAUAUACCUUAAACUUUCUUGAUAACCAUUAAGAUCUGAGGAUUCUAUGCUCUGAAUAUACCUUGGUUAAACAUUUAAGUUGAUAUAUUUUUGGGUUGGGAAUUUGAAGAUAAAUCCUUAUGGGUUAGAGAUCCUCUGUUCAGAUCCUUCUGAGAUGCAUUGGUAAGACUUUUAGCUGACCCAUUUUUGUAACUAAAAUUAGAAAAUGUUUUAAUGUGCUUUUUACGGUCAUUUUAAAACUGGGUUUUAAACAACAUUGAACAAAAUGUCUCUAUUCUUUUGUUUUUAUGUUUUCUUUUGUAAAAGAGAGAGGACAGGAAUGUGGCGUCAAUGUACAACCUAGCUACGAUCUGUCACACUAGAUAACGUGAUUUUACCCCCCAAUUUGUUUUAUCUAUUAUACUGGAAGUUACAGGUUAGGCACUGUUUGGUGUAGCACUGACAAUGUUUGACCAUAAAAUGUCCAUUUCCAGGGGGUAUGUUUGAAUAUAGAAAAUUCUCUGUUGUUUAAAUAAAUGUAAAAAAUUGCUCCAUGAAUCGCCUCUUCACUGUUGACGUUGGGACUGGUGUUUUGUGGGUACUAUUUAAUGAAGCUGCCAGUUGAGGACUUGUGAGGCAUCUGUUUCUCAAACUAGACACUCUAAUGUACUUUCCCUCUUGCUCAGUUGUGCACCGGGGCCUCCCACUCCUCUUUCUAUUCUGGUUAGAGCCAGUUUGCGCUGUUGUGUGAAGGGAGUAGUACACAGCGUUGUACCAGAACUUUAGUUUCUUGGCAAUUUCUCGCAUGGAAAAGACUUAAUUUCUCAGAGCAAGAAUAGAUCCAACCCACAAAUGCUGAUGCUCCAGAUACUCAACAAGUCUAAAGAAGGCCAGUUUUAUUGCUUCUUUAAUCAGAAUAACAGUUUACAGCUGUGCUAACAUAAUUGCAAAAGGGUUUUCUAAUGAUCAAUUAGCCUUUUAAAAUGAUAAACUUGGAUUUGCUAACCCAACGUGUAAAUGACAAGUCAUUUACAACAUUAACAAUGUCUACACUGUAUUUCUGAUCAAUUUGUUGUUAUUUUAAUGGACAAAAAAAAUUGCUUUUCUUUCAAAAACAAGGAUAUUUCUAAGUGACCACAAACUUUUGAACGGUAGUGUUGAUGUAUUUAACUAGGCAAGUCAGUUAAGAACAAAUUCUUAUUUACAAUGACAGCACACCCCGGGCCAAACCCGGACGACACUGGACCAAUUGUGUACCGCCCUAUGAGACUCCCAAUCACGGCCAGUUGUGAUACAGCCUGGAAUCAAACUACGGUCUGUAGUGACGCCUCUAGCACUAAGAUGCAGUGCCUGAGACCGCUG
rnacentral:lncRNA from 1 species